rnacentral:rRNA from 1 species
UACGUAGGGGGCUAGCGUUGUCCGGAAUUACUGGGUGUAAAGCGCGUGUAGGCGGGAGGCCAAGUCUGCGGUGAAAUCGCUCGGCUCAACUGGGCGGGGUCCGUGGAAACUGGUCACCUGGAGGACGGUAGAGGCGAGUGGAAUUCCCGGUGUAGUGGUGAAAUGCGUAGAGAUCGGGAGGAACACCAGUGGCGAAGGCGGCUCGCUGGGCCGGACCUGACGCUGAGACGCGAAGGCGUGGGGAGCGAACGGG